GACGAACGCUGGCGGCGUGCCUAAUACAUGCAAGUAGAACGCACAGUUUAUACCGUAGCUUGCUACACCAUAGACUGUGAGUUGCGAACGGGUGAGUAACGCGUAGGUAACCUGCCUGGUAGCGGGGGAUAACUAUUGGAAACGAUAGCUAAUACCGCAUAAUAUUAAUUAUUGCAUGAUAAUUAAUUGAAAGGUGCAAUUGCACCACUACCAGAUGGACCUGCGUUGUAUUAGCUAGUAGGGGAGGUAACGGCUCACCUAGGCGACGAUACAUAGCCGACCUGAGAGGGUGAUCGGCCACACUGGGACUGAGACACGGCCCAGACUCCUACGGGAGGCAGCAGUAGGGAAUCUUCGGCAAUGGACGAAAGUCUGACCGAGCAACGCCGCGUGAGUGAAGAAGGUUUUCGGAUCGUAAAGCUCUGUUGUAAGAGAAGAACGGGUGUGAGAGUGGAAAGUUCACACUGUGACGGUAUCUUACCAGAAAGGGACGGCUAACUACGUG
rnacentral:rRNA from 1 species